UGCUGUCCGGCCCCGGUCAGAUCCCGGCACCGCAGCUCCGGGAGCCUCUGAGCGGGAUAGGGGGGGGAGCACGUUGGGGAGAGCCCGGAGCAAGGUGAAGUGCAGCCCUAAAGCCUGAAUUCUGUAGAGUGCGAUCGAAUCUUAUCUCUAAAUAUCUUUUGUCUUCAUGGGGUAACGGUAGUUUAUCCAGGUGAAUUGCGAUUGCUUUCCCCGCCCUGCGUUAAAAUCGUAUCUCCCCGAGGGCGUUUCAUCUGGUUGGUGUUAGGGGGUUGAGGAUCUCUGCCCUUUGGGGUUUCCAGCACAGCCUGGUGUCACCUCAGACCCAGCUGUCCCUCCUUUCUGUUGGGAGCAACUCUCUUCCACUCAGCACAACGCGUUUAAUGGAGGAGCAUCAAGGGCUAAAACAGAAAACUCAGAUCAAACGAUUUUCCUCCUGAAGCACUGCUCACAGUUGCAUUAGAAAUUCAGAGCUAGCAGACCCUUGGGCUUCUGACUGGACUGCACAUAUGCAUCUUUAUACUGCCACAAGAUUUUUUUGUCCUUUUUGGAAACCUGUAACAAAUUGUGCAGCUUAACAGUGGUAUGCCUUCAUGCUCAGGUCUGCAGCUGCAAUAAUAAUUUCCUAGGGAGCCCAGUUUUCAGAAAAGAUGUGAGGCCUUUAUCCAGAUUUCCAGAUCUGCUUGUUAAUUGAUGGAUGGAUUGUGUGGCGAGUUCCCAGGAGUCCUCGAAGAGCUAUGCUGAAUUUGGAUGGGUUUUCUGCUUGUGUGCAUCUGCCUCAUUAGUUUGCCAACGUGUCCUGAAAUUCUUGUGAGGAAAGUCAUCAUCAGUACAAGCUGACUUACUGCAGCAGAGUUACAGCAGAACAGGUUGGGUUUCCUGCCAACAAAACUUGCGGUCAUGUCACAUAGAAUCUGAGACUCUCACCAAAAUGUUGAUUGGACCAAAUUAU
ensembl:lncRNA